ACCAAGAUGAAGUCGGUUCACCGCUUCUUCGAGGAGGGCGACAAGGUCAAGGUGACCCUGCGCUUCCGCGGUCGUGAGAUGGCUCACCAGGAUAUCGGUCUGCGCCUCCUGGAGCGCGUGAAGAACGAGACGGCCGAGAUCGCCAAGGUGGAAAGCGAGCCGAUGCUCGAAGGCCGCCAGAUGAUCAUGAUCCUGGCGCCGCGCUGAUCCGUUCGCCAAUUGCUGUUUACGCCGCCUCCUGAUCGGGGCGGC
rnacentral:misc_RNA from 1 species